AGUCCAUAGUGUAAGCACUUCCUUAGAUUGUCUUAAAAUGCUCCCAUGCCUCGUAAAGGGUUUCACCUUUGUAUUGUUUAAAAUUAGUUAUUUCUUGCCGAAGUU
rfam:Gossypium hirsutum cultivar TM-1 chromosome 5, whole genome shotgun sequence